GAUUCACCUGAUUCAUUCGCGGACGGAGACGUGUCCCACUGUUUUUGAGCGACGCGUGUAAAGAACCAUUCACAGUUUAUCGAUCGUCAGCGAGCGAAGGAGAAUGGGAAGGGAGGAGGUUCGUGAGAUAGCUCGCAGUUUACCGCAACGGUAAACAGUUAGGAUUUUCUUUGAAUGGUCCCUUGUACGUGUGCGCUCGGGAGGAAGGAUGCAUCCUGCGAAGACAGCUUCAAGCUUUCUUACAGGGAGGUUAUGUCGAGAAGGAAGACAAUCGAUGGACGAGGCGUGGUCGGAAAAAAAAAAAUAUACUUACCGCCGAGCUCUGUCUACGAACUUUUAUUUACUAUUCCAAGGCUUCGCGCGCACUGACGCUCUCAUUGAGAGUCCGCGCUAUUUAUCGUGGAGGAGAGGGAGAGCUUAUACCUUCGCAACCCCGAAGGACUUGACGAGUGGACGAGGAAUGAGGAUUCUUGAUCUCCCGAUGGUAGGAUGAAGUGGUUGUUGAAGCACUCGUACCUAAGUGGUAGGGUUGGAGAUUAAUUGGCCAUCCAUUGAAACGGGAGACUUUGUGUAAAUAUGCAACUCCACUUAAAUUAAAUUUAGGAUAACCACAAGGUCGAUUUUAAGUGGUGCCAGUAAAAUAGUGAAUAAUUAAAAUUUUAAUAUUUGUUCGUAUUCGUAACACUACGCGA